rnacentral:rRNA from 1 species
GACGAACGCUGGCGGCGUGCUUAACACAUGCAAGUCGAACGCUGAAGCUCAGCUUUUGUUGGGUGGAUGAGUGGCGAACGGGUGAGUAACACGUGAGUAACCUGCCCCCUUCUUUGGGAUAACGCCCGGAAACGGGUGCUAAUACUGGAUAUUCACUGGUCUUCGCAUGGGGGUUGGUGGAAAGGGUUUUUCUGGUGGGGGAUGGGCUCGCGGCCUAUCAGCUUGUUGGUGGGGUGAUGGCCUACCAAGGCUUUGACGGGUAGCCGGCCUGAGAGGGUGACCGGUCACAUUGGGACGGAGAUACGGCCCAGACUCCUACGGGAGGCAGCAGUGGGGAAUAUUGCACAAUGGGCGCAAGCCUGAUGCAGCGACGCCGCGUGAGGGAUGGAGGCCUUCGGGUUGUGAACCUCUUUCGCUCAUGGCCAAGCCGCAACAAUGGUUGUGGUGAGGGUAGUGGGUAAAGAAGCGCCGGCUAACUACGUG